rnacentral:rRNA from 1 species
AGGAUGAACGCUGGCGGCGUGCUUAACACAUGCAAGUCGAACGAUGAAGGCUGGAGCUUGCUCUGGCUGGAUUAGUGGCGAACGGGUGAGUAACACGUGAGUAACCUGCCCCAGACUCUGGGAUAAGCGCUGGAAACGGCGUCUAAUACCGGAUACGAGCUUCCACCGCAUGGUGAGGAGCUAGGAAAGUAAUUUCGGUCUGGGAUGGACUCGCGGCCUAUCAGCUUGUGGUGAGGUAAUGGCUCACCAAGGCGACGACGGGU